GAGAGAGUGAUAUUUAUAAAUCGCAUACUUACAUGCUACUUCCAGUGAGGCGUUUCGACUGACUGCUUCCCCCAAGUAAUUGCGUGCCACACAAAC